rnacentral:sRNA from 1 species
GCCAGGUGUAGUGGCCCAUGUCUGUAAUCCCAGCAACUCAGGAGGCUGAGGCAGGAGGAUCACAAGUUUGAGGCCCUGUCUUUU